UACGGGGGGGGCAGGCGUUGUUCGGAAUUACUGGGCGUAAAGGGCUCGUAGGCGGCCAACUAAGUCAUACGUGAAAUCCCUCGGCUUAACCGGGGAACUGCGUCUGAUACUGGAUGGCUUGAGUUCGGGAGAGGGAUGCGGAAUUCCAGGUGUAGCGGUGAAAUGCGUAGAUAUCUGGAGGAACACCGGUGGCGAAGGCGGCAUCCUGGACCGAUACUGACGCUGAGGAGCGAAAGCCAGGGGAGCAAACGGG
rnacentral:rRNA from 1 species